rnacentral:rRNA from 1 species
AUGGUGAGCCGCACCAUGCUCAGCCUCCACGGCUGCUACGGCGGCGGCAGGGCGCUGAGCCUCGCCAAGGAGCUGGCCGAGAACAACCGCGGCGCGCGCGUCCUCGUCGCCUGCUCCGAGAUGACGCUCGUCUGCUUCGGAGCGCCCGACGGCGGCAACAUCGUCGGCCACGCGCUGUUCGGGGACGGAGCGGGCGCCGUCGUCGUCGGGGCCGGCCCCUUCCUAGACGGCGAGCAGGGCCCGAUCUUCGAGAUGGUGUCCGCCACGCAGACCACAAUUCCCAGGACGGAGCACGCGCUGGGCAUGCGGGUCUCCGGGGGCGGCAUCGACUUCCACCUGGCAAUCCAGGUGCCGACGCUCGUCGGGCAGAGCGUCGAGCCGUGCCUCCUCGACGCGUUCCGUGGCAUCAUUGUGGACGACGACGAUGCUCCACCUCCAUGCUCUGGGAAUGGGAAUGGGAACGGGAGGUGGAACGACCUCUUCUGGGCGGUGCACCCAGGAGGGCGUCCGAUCCUGGACAAUAUAGACAAGGUGCUGAUGCUGGAGCCGGAGAAGCUGGCGGCCAGCCGGCAUGUGCUCCGCGAGUACGGCAACAUGAGCGGCGCCACGAUCGUGUUCGUGCUUGACGAGCUGCGCCGCGGCCGGAGCCCGCUGCCGGAGUGGGGUGCGCUGCUGGCCUUCGGACCGGGAAUCACGAUCGAGGCCAUGGUGCUCCGCUGUCCACGCUAG